rnacentral:misc_RNA from 1 species
UACGGAGGGUGCGAGCGUUGUUCGGAAUUAUUGGGCGUAAAGCGCACGUAGGCGGCUCGGUAAGUCUCACUGUGAAAGCCCGGGGCUCAACCCCGGGAGGCCAGGGGAUACUGCGGAGCUGGAGACAGGCAGAGGCGGGUGGAAUUCCGGGUGUAGCGGUGGAAUGCGUAGAGAUCCGGAGGGACAUCUGAGGCGAAGGCGGCCAGCUGGGCCUGAUCUGACGCUGAGGUGCGAAAGUGUGGGGAGCGAACAGG